CGCGUAGGCGGCUUCUCAAGCGUGCGGUGAAAGCUCGGGGCUUAACUCCGAGUCUGCCGUGCGAACUGGGAGGCUUGAGUCUGGUAGAGGUCGAUGGAAUUCCGGGUGUAGCGGUGGAAUGCGUAGAGAUCCGGAAGAACACCGGUGGCGAAGGCGGUCGACUGGGCCAGAACUGACGCUGAGGCGCGACAGCGUGGGGAGCAAACA
rnacentral:rRNA from 1 species